rnacentral:rRNA from 1 species
UACGUAGGGUGCAAGCGUUGUCCGGAAUUAUUGGGCGUAAAGAGCUCGUAGGCGGUUUGUCGCGUCUGCCGUGAAAAUUCGAGGCUCAACCUCGAACUUGCGGUGGGUACGGGCAGACUAGAGUGUGGUAGGGGAGACUGGAAUUCCUGGUGUAGCGGUGAAAUGCGCAGAUAUCAGGAGGAACACCGAUGGCGAAGGCAGGUCUCUGGGCCACUACUGACGCUGAGAAGCGAAAGCAUGGGGAGCGAACAGG